UGAGAGUGAAAACUCCGAUUUAUUCAAAAUACACUGCUCUUUUAUACAGAGCUUUGCAAAGGUUAAAUCCAUUGGUCCUAAAGUGAAAACAAACUACAACAUUGGUUCAGAGUGCUUGACGCACAGUGACAGAACUUAACUAUAAACAGUGUGAGGUCAAGAGAGAUAAAGAAUUAUUUACAUUCUUUUCCAGCUCUUUCCCAGGCUUUUGCCUGGCUAGAAACUCUCAAUUUCUUUCUUUGACUGAAUCUGAGACCCACAUGUCUUCUCUUUUAGUUUUAAAAAAGAAGGCAGUGUUUGUCUCCUUUUUGCAAGGUCUCUUGCAGAAGAGAGGACAAACACGACUCCGAGGUUCACUAGUUGAUGAUUCAAAACCUCAUUGAAUGUUGGCUCAGAACAGUCAAAGAGAUUUUGACUUACACUAUAACUCUUUACAAACUUAACUAUUAAAUCUAAAACUCCAUCACCAACACCAAAACAUUGUUAGUCUGCUUGUAACACAGGCAGUCUAACUCGUCACCAGUUCAUGUCCAAAAAGCAAAGCAAAUCAAAUGUUCAUUUCCCCCUCGUGGAGGGGCUGGCUGACUGAUGGUUGAUGUCUUGAUCAUCAUCUGAAGAUUGUGAUGGAUGGUCAGCAGCAUGGUCACUGCUCACAGGCUAUCUGUUGACCACACUCUGUUUCUGCUGUCUCAAGUCAGGGCGAACACACUUUGCAAGUAUCCAUCGUACCCUGGUACCUGUGGAGACACAUGCAUACCCGCGGCCCCAAGUAAUGAGGUUGCACGGACCCUCCCACCUAUUGGUGACAAGGUCUCGCACCCAGACCUGCGCUCAGGGCAGAUGCGUCUCACCUGCUGAAUGCAAUGAGAGAAAAUGAUUCAAAAUGACAGGAAUCUCUGAAUUCUUUGGCACAGUUAAAUGGUUGAUUGUAUACAAAGCUUUCUCCAACCGACUGUGUGGAGUCUCUCCUGGCAUUCCCCCUUUUUGUUUCUCCAGAACACGCUUUAAAGUGCCAUGCACGCGUUCAACAAUGGCUUGAGCUGUGGGUGAAUGUGCAGUACCAAACUUGUGUGAGACUCCCCACAGGUGCAAAAACUGACAUAACUUCUGUGAGGCAUAGGCAGGGCCAUUGUCAGUCUUUACGCACGAAGGUAUCCCCAGAACUGCAAAAGCCAUCCUCCAAUGAGCAAUUGCGUCGCGACUCUUCUCCCCCGUGUGAACAGUUGCCCACAUGGCGGAGGAGAAGGUGUCGACAGACACAUGCACAUACUUAAGUCGAGCAAACUCAGCAAUGUGUGUAACAUCUGUUUGCCAGCGCUGCAAGGCCUUCAGGCCUCUGGGGUCCACCCCCGCCGGUAAAGGUGCAGCAAACCCAUGACAGUCAGCACAAGAGCUGACAAUGUCACGAGCCUCGGUUGCUGUCAAAUCAAACUGUUUUUGCAAAGUAUGUGCACUUUGGUGAAAAAAGUCAUGCAAUGCCUUGGCUUGCGCAGUUCUAUCAGGCUGAGGUGCCACCCACGCAGGGUUAGCCAACCUAUCAGCCCUGGCGUUACCUUCAGACAGUGAUAUCAAUGGAAGGGUCUACUUGGUAAACCGGACGAGUAGACAGAGCCUUUUGAACCUCCUCCAGCGCUUGCCGCGCUUCAAGAGUCAAUUUCCAAGGCGAACUCAGGUCCGGGUCCCCCUUUAAAAGUUUGAACAGCAGGGACAGCUGCGCCGUGGUCAGCCCCAGAUAGGGACGUAACCAAUUGAGGACCCCAAGCAAUCUCUGGGCAUCAUUCAGCGUUGCAAUAGUCUCUGGAAAUUGCACCUCCUGAUGCUGAAUGGUUUGCUCCAGAAUCUUGACCCCCAAAUACUUCCAAGGAGGUCGGCUCUGGUCACCAACCACCGCAAAGGCAGUGUAGGGUAAUCUGCGCCCUUCAACACAGUGACCCCCAUCAAAAAUCCGUCCCGAUGCGCACACCCCAGGCUGCCGGCACAUCCCGCCCCCAAAGAGUGACCGGAGCUGCAGUAACAUAGGGCCGAACCUUUGCUGUCUGCCCUUCCAUGUUUUUGCUCAACACAGCCUGCCGGCACAUAAAUGUCUGUACUGCAACUCCCAAGCCUUCAAUGGCCACUCCCACGGAGUCCAAAGGCCACUUAGGAGGCCACACAGAGGCGGAGACGACUGUCACGUCAGCCCCGGUGUCGAUCAAACCUUGCAGAUGAAUCCGAGACGGGCUGGCACCUGGCAAAACCACGGAGCACACCAUUUGUGGACGGUUGGCAGAAAUGAGCGAGGACCAGAGGACUUGCGUAGGUCCUGUGGAUUCGAAACCACCAUCUCCACGCAUCUGCUGAUCUGCUCUGGGAACACACGACUGGAAAGGCACAAGUUGAGCAAUGCGGGUUCCUGCCGGAAUAAUGACAAGAGGGGAGGGUGUGGAAACCAUAGCACAAAUCUGGCCCAUAAAAUCAGAAUCCACGACACCCGGGUGCACAAAGACCCCCAAAAGGCUAGUGUUAGACCGCCCCAUCAACAAUGCACCCAAUCCAUGACCUAAAGGCCCGAAUGCAUUCAGAGGAACCCUGUGCACCUCAGUAGAAUCUAAGAUGACUGCUGCUAUGGUGUGUACAUCCACCCCGGCAGAGCCGUGGAUGCCUGUGUCGAGUUGACAGGGGCACCCUGCACCGGUGCUGUGUUCUGGGGGAUCACUUGUGUCAGCGCGCAGUUCCACUGUGCGCUUCUGCCCCUGUUUCCCGAGCCUGUCAAUCGCUUACCAUAAGCAUGGUAAGUCGACCUGCAUUCCUUCGCAAAAUGACCUGGCCUACCACACCCGGAGCACAGAAAAUUAGAGUCUGACCCCUUCUUGCCUUUUGCCCCCUGUACCUGCUUGCCCUUCUUCUUCUUCUCCAUCUUGUGCCGACCAGUCAAUGAGGACGACAGGCCUGCCUGCAAAGAUGCUGCCAGAACAGACAUUUUAUGGUCCACUGUACCAACCUUGGAACAAGCCUCGACCAUGUCUGUCAAGGACGGAUCGCCUGGCAAUGCGUCUAUAAUUUUCCUACAAUCCUCAUUUGCAUUGUCUCUUGCCAAAGUUUUGCACAAAACCUGCCUCAAAGUCUCAUCCUCAAUCUGCUUCUCCAACUGCAGCUGCGAGCCUCUCAACAAAUGGCAGGAACAACUCUUUGGCCCCCUGUGCUAUCUUUACAUAUCAUUGCCUGGGAGCAGCUGUCUCCAUGGCCUUGAGCAAUGCCACAAAGCCUAUCUUCUGGGCCUGCUCAAGUACGAUGUGGUGCCAAGUGGCCUGAAAAUCAGGAUUGGAAAAGCUAUUGAGUCCCAUGAGUGCAUCCACCCCCAGACAGCACCUAGGGUCUGUUUGAGGAUAAUGUUGAUUCUCAGCUGCAACCCUGUCGGCCAUCCUCCUCCAGUUGCUCAUAAAAAGAUCCAUCUGCACAGGUUGGAACAACACAGAGGCCAGAUGUUUGAUAUCAUAGGGAGCCAGCAGGUCAGUGUUUAUCACUCUGAGGACCUGCAUCAAUGGGGCAGAACCCAACCUAUAUUUUGCCACCUUGUCCUGCAAAUCCUGUACAACCUUCCAAGCUGUAACUUCAUGCUUGUCCUGCUGUCCCAAAUUUGGGACAGCCUUGUGUACAGGAAAGACUUGCAGCUUACGCUGCACUGAAGCAUCGUCACCCCCACCCCCUUUUGCUCCCCCUGAGAGGGACAGAGGAACCAACUGGCAGCUAGGCACGGUCUCAUCCUCCUUGAGAGGUGGGUUCAGAACCGCACCACCAGGCUUUCCCACCCGCUCUAACAAAUCCCAAUCACACGCUUCCAAAGCGCUUUGCCUGACCGCAUCCCAAAAGCGACAGGGAUUUAUCGGUCGCACAGACACCUGACAGGGAGGCAGCGUCCACAGAUCUCUCUGGGACGCUCACCGCCCUCGUCCGUGUCGGCGUUCCGACAGGCGGUCAGGCCCCCGUGACGGAAUCGAGAUCAAAUCAUCGCUGUCACUACCUGCCUCCUGUGACAGGGGCGUGUGGGACAGUCCGCGAUCCACGAGGGAGGGUGGGCUGACAGGAGACACCGAGGCUGGGCAGGCGGCUAUCGACUGCGAAGCCGAAGCACUGGGCUGGGCCCCCGAGCCAACAGCUCCCGAACCAGGUGGGCCAGCCGCUGGUGACGGGGCGGGGACUGGAACCAUCACCGGCCGCUCGGCGAAUCCCUCCGUCGCAGACGGCAAGACGAAAGGGUCAGCAGGAGCUUGCAACACCGUGGAUGUGUCAUCGAUGACAGGAACGGCACUGGCUGCUGGGGCGCAGCAGGCAUCACGGGCACUGAAGCACCAGCGGGCGAGGGAGGCAGAGGUGCUGCUGCUGAGACAGCGGGGGGAGGGGGGGGGGCGGGAGCCAGAGGCGCUGCUCAAGCCGCCGGAGCGGCGGGCACGGCGAAAGGCAGAACCGUUCCAGCCGCGGAUGCGGCGGGCAGGGCGCCGGUCCCCAUCGCUGGGAGCGCCGGCGCCACAGCAGGCGUGGUGUGGAGAGCAGGUACCGCCCCCAGUGCCGGCGUCAGUCCCGGGGCCGGGAGGGCCGAAAACGACACCGAAGUGCCCCCCGCAAGAUGGUGUUGAACCAUUGACGCUGGCACCGUGAAAGAAAUCUAAUCAGUCCCAGCACACGUCGCGCAGCGGGACGUUCCGGGAAGCAGCUGCGCUGCUCCCACUGGCAGAACCUGAACCCCCACGGGAAGCGAGGGUUGCGCCAGCGAGUGGGCGAAAGGCUGCAUCCCUGCCCCCAGAGGCAGCUGAGAGCGAGGCCCACACAUCUGCGCAGGCUCCAUAGCUGAUAACAAAGGAGCCGGGGGGCCACUGCCCCCGCAGCGCCCGGCGCCGCGGGCUGCACCGCCCCUCCCGCCAGCCGCAGAGCGGAGCCCCACCAAGGGCUGAACCAGCGGAGCCGUCUGGUCAACUGACGGACCGAGUCCGGGCUGUUGUGGCGUAGACGAGACAGCCCCCAACAGGCCGUGCAAAGGGGGGUGCGCCGAGCCCGAGGGCUGCGACGAUGGCACCCCCAGCGCCACCUUGAAAAGCAGGUGCUGGCACUGGCACCGUGCCAAAAGCAGAUUGCGCUUGUUCAGCCGGCCGGGGUACAGUCUGCUGUGUAAUCUGUGGCUGAUUGGCCGGCAAAAAUUUCCCAGGCUGAGCAUAGCCAUGGGGUUAGGCAGCGCUGGGACCAGCAGGAAUCCCCGGCGACACGGGAGGCUUGCGGGGCGUUCCACCAUGACCCGACACCCCGCUCCGCGCCGGGGAAGGGAUCGGGCGUCGCUCGGCCCGUCCGCGUGUCCCUUCUCCCCGAGAGACCACUAGAUACAGAAGCGGCGUCGUCACUCCCGGAGAGAACCCCCUCGGAGUCCGAGCUCCCCGGGGCCCCCUCCCGCAGGGGCACAUACACACGCCCCCAGACUGAAAACAGUGCGGACGCCUCCGCGUCUCCCUGGUGCAUCUGCUGCAUGAGACACCGCCCCAUAUCGCGCCAGAGCUUUCGAUCAAAGGCCCGCCUAAUGUCCACGGAGAAUCUCUGAUCUCGAGCCCAGAUUAAGAGCCGUAUCAGUUCCUCCUCAGAGACCCGAGCCCUCAUCUGCGGGAUAGAGGCUUGCCAGGCGUACAAAACCGUCCGAUCAGCUGCAGAUGCCUGAUUCCCCAUCGCUAUGAAAUCUCCCGUCAGCGAAAGUCCACUUUUAGAGACAAAACAGUCCGCUCCUCCAGGGAGACCCCGUCCCGCAGUCCCAGCUCUUAGAAGCCGAACCACAGCCUUCUACAGAAGGCGCGGACUUCCAGCGUUACCUUUCUUAAGAAGGCAAAGGUGUCCGUCCACAGCCACAGGCUGGUGGCGCAGUGCCGCGCCGCCGAGACCCCCCCGCAAGACGCGAGGUGCAGGUCGCCAGCCCAGGCGAGGUCGUCAGACCCCGUACCCCAGAGUGAGGCGUGAGUCCACGUCGGCGGUCACCAGAUGUCGCUGUCGAGGCAGGACGGGAAUGAGAAGACUGAUUCAGAAGGCUG
ensembl:lncRNA